GCAGUCGUGGCCGAGUGGUUAAGGCGAUGGACAAUAGAAAUCCAUUGGGGUCUCCCCACACAGGAUCGAAUCCUGUCGACUGCG
rnacentral:tRNA from 2 species